CAGCAGCCACGGUAAUACGAAGGGUGCAAGCGUUACUCGGAAUCACUGGGCGUAAAGCGUGUGUAGGUGGUUGUUUAAGUCUGUCGUGAAAGCCCUGGGCUCAACCUGGGAAUUGCGAUGGAUACUGGGCGACUAGAGUGCGGUAGAGGAUAGUGGAAUUUCCGGUGUAGCAGUGAAAUGCGUAGAGAUCAGAAGGAACAUCUGUGGCGAAGGCGACUAUCUGGGCCAACACUAACACUGAGACACGAAAGCGUGGGGAGCAAACAGGAUUAGAUACCCCGGUAGUCCCUGUCUCUUAUAC
rnacentral:rRNA from 1 species